UCAUGUUAUGCGUGUUUGUUUGUUUGAUCAAUUGAAACUUUUAGCUAUGAUAGAGUUUGGGAAUAUCUAGUGAAAUGUUGCCUAAAGAGUCACUAAGUGAUCAAGCAUGGAAUACCAAGCAAUGAAGCAAAAUAUAUUUUCUUUCAUCAUGUAAAUUCAGCUAGCUAGGAAACUUUAUAGCAAUGACAUGUUACUUGGAUUCAAUAUUUGGUGGAUAUAUUGGAAUUUUAUUGAUGUAUCACAUUGCUUUUGGCGUAAAUAUUAAUCAUUGUUCAUUGGAUAA